AUGUAUCCAACACUUCUAGUAGUGAGCUCAGUUUGCCUUAUUCUAAGCCAAGAUCCUUACUCAACUGUAAAGAUAGAUUAUAAACAAAGGCAAGGACUGAGAUCAGCAUAUGGGGAGACACAGAAAAGGCAACUCCAACUUGGAAAUUUCACAGAAGCUGCAUGUGAAGUUCAGAUGAAGGGACUCGAUUUUGAGGCAAGAACUACUUUAAAGUGGAGGCAACUUAUAUUUUUUUUCCCUCAGGUUACAAUCAGCAUAAUCACUCCCCACAUCUCAGUGAUCUUGGCAGAAGUUUAGUCCACAGAAUAAGUGACCAUCUGUGCCUAUUCUGAUAAUCUAUGGAAGAAUGUGUCCUGUCCACUCUCCAAGGUACUGACUCAAAACUGGAAAUAAUGGCUGAACUGUCCCAAGUGCUGAAUUUUUAGUAUCAAUAAACUGCUUCCUCAAAACUUUUGCAUUCCUCCUGCCCCAUCCUAGGAUGGUUAUUGUAACAACUAUACUUGACUGAGACAUUUGGGCAAAAUACUUGGCACAAUUAUCACUAACAUAAGGCACCCACGUGGAAAUUUGGAUAAAGAGCAUACAGUACCUAAAUUAUUUUCUACAAUCACAGGAGAAACUUGGUAUAUUAGUUUCCUAUGGCUGUGGCCACCAUAAUGCUGUUUGCUUAAAAAUCCACAUUUAUUAUCUUAUAGUUCAGAAGUUUCACACAGAUCUCACUGGCCAAAAUCUGUGUCAGUAGUCUUGUGUUCAUUCUGGAGGCUCUAGGAGAAAAUCAGUUUUCUGAUAUUUUCCAGUCUUUAGAAACGGCUCACAUUCUUUAGCUCAUGGCUCCUUUAAUCUGCAAAGUCAGCAAUGGCCGGCCAAAUUAUUCUCAUAUUCCCUCACUCUGAUACAGAGUCUUCUGUCUUGGUCAUCCACUUUUAUGGUCACUUCUGAUUACAUUGGGCCUACCUGAAUAAGACAAGAUACUCUGUCUAUCUUAAGUUCUGCUGAUUUGCAUCCUUACAUCUAUUUUUCAUGUAAAUUAUUUUCUUGCCAUAUAUAGUAACACAUUCAUAGUUUCUAAAGAUUUAAAUGUGGACAUCUUGGGGAAGGGUACAUUAUUUGCCUACCAAACUCAGUAAAUAUAAACAUUUCAGAUUGCAAAAGUUAUAAAAUUAAUCAAAACCUG
rnacentral:lncRNA from 1 species